rnacentral:rRNA from 1 species
CCUACGGGAGGCAGCAGUGGGGAAUAUUGCGCAAUGGGCGAAAGCCUGACGCAGCGACGCCGCGUGAGGGAUGAAGGUCUUCGGAUCGUAAACCUCUGUCAGCAGGGAAGAACGGUCACUGUGCUAAUCAGCAGUGAAUUGACGGUACCUGCAAAGUAAGCACCGGCUAACUCCGUGCCAGCAGCCGCGGUAAUACGGAGGGUGCGAGCGUUAAUCGGAAGUACUGGGCGUAAAGCGCUCGUAGGCGGUAUGUCAAGUCAAGGGUGAAAUCCCCGCGCUCAACGUGGGAACUGCAUUUGAACCUGGGAAACGGGAGUGAUGGAGGGGAAAGGGGAAGUCGAGGUGUAGGAGUGAAAGCCGUAGAUAUCGGGAGGAACAUCAGUGGCGAAGGCGAGUAUCUGGCACAUAACUGACGCUGAGGAACGAAGGCGUGGGUAGCAAAAGGGAUUAGAUACCCCGGUAGUC